rnacentral:lncRNA from 1 species
ACAAGACUAACAUUGGAUUUCCACAGCUCUUUCGGCAGUGGGCUGGAAAGUGCUAUUAAAACAUGGCUGUUUCAUAAUUUCCCUAUUGGCUUCUGGGUUUCCUGCUAAAAAAUCCCUCCAACAUCGGCUGGGCGCGGUGGCUCACGCCUGUAAUCCCAGCUACUCAGGAGGCUGAGGCAGGAGAAUCACUUGAACCUGGGAGGUGGAGGUUGCAGUGAGCCGAGAUAGCACCAUUGCACUCCAGCUGGGUGACAAGAGUGAAACUCCAUCUAAAAAAUAAAAUCCCUCCAACAUCUAGGGCAAAAUUUCUUUUUUAUAUUUUCUUAUAUUGACAAAUAAAAAUGGUGUAUAUUUAUC